GGACGAACGCUGGCGGCGUGCUUAACACAUGCAAGUCGAACGGGAUUUAGUAGACAGAAGCUUCGGUGGAAGAUUACUAAUGAGAGUGGCGAACGGGUGAGUAACGCGUGAGCAACCUGCCUAUGACAGUGGGAUAGCCUCGGGAAACCGGGAUUAAUACCGCAUAAAAUCGUAGAAACACAUGUUUUAGCGGUCAAAGAUUUAUCGGUCAUAGAUGGGCUCGCGUCUGAUUAGCUAGUUGGUGAGAUAACAGCCCACCAAGGCGACGAUCAGUAGCCGGUCUGAGAGGAUGAACGGCCACAUUGGAACUGAGACACGGUCCAAACUCCUACGGGAGGCAGCAGUGGGGAAUAUUGCACAAUGGGGGAAACCCUGAUGCAGCGACGCCGCGUGAACGAAGAAGGUAUUCGUAUCGUAAAGUUCUGUCCUAUGGGAAGAUAAUGACAGUACCAUAGAAGAAAGCUCCGGCUAAAUACGUGCCAGCAGCCGCGGUAAUACGUAUGGAGCGAGCGUUGUCCGGAAUUAUUGGGCGUAAAGG
rnacentral:rRNA from 2 species